rnacentral:rRNA from 1 species
UACGUAGGGUGCAAGCGUUGUCCGGAAUUAUUGGGCGUAAAGAGCUCGUAGGCGGUCUGUCGCGUCUGCUGUGAAAACUCGGGGCUUAACCCCGGGCCUGCAGUGGGUACGGGCAGACUAGAGUGCGGUAGGGGAGACUGGAAUUCCCGGUGUAGCGGUGAAAUGCGCAGAUAUCGGGAGGAACACCGGUGGCGAAGGCGGU